rnacentral:rRNA from 1 species
GUUAGCCUACGGGGGGCAGCAGUGAGGAAUAUUGGUCAAUGGGCGCAGGCCUGAACCAGCCAAGUCGCGUGAGGGAUGACGGUCCUAUGGAUUGUAAACCUCUUUUGUCGGGGAGCAAGGCCCGCCACGUGUGGCGGGAAGGAGAGUACCCGAUGAAGAAGCAUCGGCUAACUCCGUGCCAGCAGCCGCGGUAAUACGGAGGAUGCGAGCGUUAUCCUGAUUUAUUGGGGUUAAAGGGGGCGUAGGCGGCAGGUUAAGUCAGCG